rnacentral:tRNA from 4 species
UGCGCCGUCGCCAAGCGGUAAGGCACCGGAUUUUGAUUCCGGCAUUCGUAGGUUCGAAUCCUACCGGCGCAGCCA